UAGUUGCCAGCGCGUCAAGGCGGGAACUCUAAGGGGACUGCCGGUGAUAAACCGGAGGAAGGUGGGGAUGACGUCAAGUCAUCAUGGCCCUUAUGGGCUGGGCUACACACGUGCUACAAUGGCCGGUACAGAGGGUUGCCAACCCGCGAGGGGGAGCCAAUCUCAGAAGACCGGUCGUAGUCCGGAUCGCAGUCUGCAACUCGACUGCGUGAAGUCGGAAUCGCUAGUAAUCGCGAAUCAGCAUGUCGCGGUGAAUACGUUCCCGGGCCUU
rnacentral:rRNA from 1 species